UCAAUUUCUUAAUCAAUUGUCCACAAGACAAUUUGGGAAUUGUGAGUCCAGAGUAUGUGUCUGAGUUGUUAGAAAAAGGAUUUGGUUUGAACACUGUGGGGAAUAGGUUGUUUUAUGCAGCUUUGCCACUUUUACUUUGGAUAUUUGGUCCUGUUUUAGUGUUCUUGUGUUUUAUUACUAUGGUACCUAUGUUUUAUAAUCUUGAUUUUGUGUGUUGUAAUCAAGAAAAAGGGAAAAUAGAGUACACUUGUGAGAAUGGGAGUGAUCAAUUUGUG
rnacentral:misc_RNA from 1 species